rnacentral:rRNA from 1 species
CCAAUCGAACUCGGAGAUAGCUGGUUCUCCCCGAAAUAGCUUUAGGGCUAGCGUUAUCUUAGUUUACCGGAGGUAAAGCACUGAAUGGGCUAGGGGCCGAUAAGGUUACUGAACCCUAUCAAACUCUGAAUGCCGGAUAAAUGAUGGAUAGCAGUCAGACAGUGUGAGAUAAGUUUCAUUGUCAAAAGGGAAACAGCCCAGACCCACAGCUAAGGUCCCUAAUGCAUGCUAAGUGGAAAACGAUGUGGAAUUGCGAAAACAACCAGGAUGUUGGCUUAGAAGCAGCCACUCAUUAAAAGAGUGCGUAAUAGCUCACUGGUCGAGUGACUCUGCGCGGAAAAUGUAACGGGGCUAAGCGUAUAACCGAAGCUUAGGAUGCAGCAAUGCGUGGUAGGGGAGCGUCGAAUACGGGGUGAAGUCGCAGCGGAAGCAGCGGUGGACUGUAUUCGAGUGAGAAUGCCGGAAUGAGUAGCGAGAAUUAUGUGGGAAUCAUAAUGGCCGAAAAUCUAAGGUUUCUUGGGGAAGGUUCGUCCGCCCAAGGUAAGCCGGGAGCUAAGGCGAGGCCGCAAGGCGUAGUCGAUGCACAUACGGUAAAGAUUCCGUAGCCGCCGAACUUUAAGUCAGAGGGACACUUGCAGAUAGCGGAACCCAGCCGUUGGUUGAGCUGGGCGAAAGGGACUGAAUUUAGUAGGGAAGUCCGCGAUGCUGAAAGGCGAGAAAAGCUCUGAUGGAUACUAAGGCGCCCGUACCGCAAACCGACACAGGUAGAUGAGGAGAGAAUCCUAAGGCCAACGGGAGAAGGGUUGUUAAGGAACUCGGCAAAUUGACCCCGUAACUUCGGAAGAAGGGGAGCCCCGAAAGGGGCCGCAGUGAAUAGGCCCAAGCAACUGUUUACCAAAAACACAGGUUUAUGCUAAAUCGAAAGAUGACGUAUAUGAGCUGACGCCUGCCCGGUGCCGGAAGGUUAAGAGGAGAGCUUAGAGCAAUCGAAGGUUUGAAUUGAAGCCCCGGUAAACGGCGGCCGUAACUAUAACGGUCCUAAGGUAGCGAAAUUCCUUGUCAGGUAAGUUCUGACCCGCACGAAUGGCGUAAUGAUUUGGGCACUGUCUCAACAGCCCGCCCGGCGAAAUUGUAGUACUGGUGAAGAUGCCAGUUACCCGCAACUAGACGGAAAGACCCCAUGGAGCUUUACUGCAGCUUAAUACUGAAAUUCGGUAGUACAUGUACAGGAUAGGUGGGAGACUGAGAAAUACAGGCGUCAGCUUGUAUGGAGUCGCUGUUGGGAUACCACUCUUGUACUGCUGGGUUUCUAACCUGCGGCCGUGAAUCCGGUCGGGGGACACUGUUAGGCGGGCAGUUUGACUGGGGCGGUCGCCUCC